rnacentral:rRNA from 1 species
UACGAAGGGGCUAGCGUUGUUCGGAAUGACUGGGCGUAAAGCGCACGUAGGCGGCUUGUUUAGUCAGAGGUGAAAUCCCGGGGCUUAACCCCGGAACUGCCUUUGAUACUGGCAGGCUUGAGUCCGGAAGAGGGUGACGGAAUACCCAGUGUAGAGGUGAAAUUCGUAGAUAUUGGGUAGAACACCAGUGGCGAAGGCGGUCACCUGGUCCGGUACUGACGCUGAGGUGCGAAAGCGUGGGGAGCAAACAGG